rnacentral:rRNA from 1 species
AGUGAACGCUGGCGGUAUGCCUAACACAUGCAAGUCGAACGGCAGCACAGUAAGAGCUUGCUCUUACGGGUGUCGAGUGGCGGACGGGUGAGGAAUACAUCGGAAUCUACUUUUUCGUGGGGGAUAACGUAGGGAAACUUACGCUAAUACCGCAUACGACCUACGGGUGAAAGCAGGGGAUCUUCGGACCUUGCGCGAUUGAAUGAGCCGAUGUCGGAUUAGCUAGUUGGCGGGGUAAAGGCGCACCAAGGCGACGAUCCGUAGCUGGUCUGAGGGGAUGAUUCGACACACUGGAUGUGAGGCUCGGCCCCCACUCCGACGGGAGGCAGCAGUGGGGAAUCUUGGGGAAUGGGCGCAAGCCUAAUCUAGCACUACCGCGUGAGUCAUGAAGGAGUUCUGGUGGUUAAGCCAUGAUGUUGUGAGAGAAAUACAGCACUUUAACCCGCCGUGAUUCUGACGGUACCGAAAGAAUAAGCUCCGGCUAACUUCGUG